GUUCCUUAAGGGACAUGCGAUACAAUUGAAUGGAGACAAAGAAGAUUAGCAUGGCCCCUACACAAGGAUGACGUACAGAAAUUGAGAAAUGGUCCAAAAUAAA